rnacentral:tRNA from 1 species
GGAUGGGUGCCUGAGUGGUUGAAAGGACCGGUCUUGAAAACCGGCAGGCGUUCACGCGUCUCGUGGGUUCGAAUCCCACCCCAUCCGCCA